GCCCCCGUGGCGGAAUGGUAGACGCGGCAGACUCAAAAUCUGUUGCCAGAGAUGGUGUGCUGGUUCGAGUCCGGCCGGGGGCACCA
rnacentral:tRNA from 1 species